UACGAAGGGGGGCUAGCGUUGUUCGGAUUUACUGGGCGUAAAGCGCACGUAGGCGGAUCGUUAAGUCGGGGGUGAAAUCCUGGAGCUCAACUCCAGAACUGCCUUCGAUACUGGCGAUCUAGAGUCCGGAAGAGGUGGGUGGAACUCCUAGUGUAGAGGUGGAAUUCGUAGAUAUCAGGAGGAACACCAGUGGCGAAGGCGGCUUCUGGACGAUAACUGACGCUGAGACGCGAAAGCGUGGGGAGCAAACAGG
rnacentral:rRNA from 1 species